rnacentral:rRNA from 1 species
UGGGGAAUUUUGGACAAUGGGCGAAAGCCUGAUCCAGCAAUGCCGCGUGUGUGAAGAAGGCCUUCGGGUUGUAAAGCACUUUUGUCCGGAAAGAAAUCCUUGGCUCUAAUACAGUCGGGGGAUGACGGUACCGGAAGAAUAAGCACCGGCUAACUACGUGCCAGCAGCCGCGGUAAUACGUAGGGUGCAAGCGUUAAUCGGAAUUACUGGGCGUAAAGCGUGCGCAGGCGGUUUGCUAAGACCGAUGUGAAAUCCCCGGGCGUCAACCUGGGAACUGCAUUGGUGACUGGGCAGGCUAGAGUAUGGCAGGAGGGGGGUAGAAUUCCACGUGUAGCAGUGAAAUGCGUAGAGAUGUGGAGGAAUACCGAUGGCGAAGGCAGCCCCCUGGG